rnacentral:rRNA from 1 species
AACGAACGCUGGCGGCGUGGAUAAGACAUGCAAGUCGAACGGGACAAUAUUUGUAGCAAUACAGAUGUUGUUUAGUGGCGAACGGGUGCGUAACACGUGGGAAAUCUGCCGAGAAGUGGG